CUCUCUGCAGAGGCAGCAAGGGGCAGUCACUAUCAACACUCACUACCAACAUUCAGCAUGAAGCAGAAUGGACUUGUGGGCUCGCCAACAAGUGUAUGGAAGUGUAGCCCCAGCUCCAUGGGCUCAUCCAGUGGCAGGUGCCUCCCAGGGAAGUGGAAGAGGCUGCGUGACGGUGAGGACCACUUGCACUUCCUGCCCACGGCAGCCUCCGCCAACAGCGCAUCCAUGUCUUCUGGCUCCUCUGUGAUCUCCAGGCCUGCGUGGGGGCCCAUUU